AUGCAAACCUUGUUGCAUCUUGGCCUCGCUCUUGCACUGCUUGCAGCACAAUACGCCCAUGGAACUGCGGUUCCGGGUUCAGAGUGCCGAAGGCGGUGCGGCGAUGUUGACAUACCGUACCCAUUCGGUAUUGAUCCGGGCUGCUCGUUCGGCGAAGACUUUGACAUAAACUGCAAGGUCCAAGAUGGCAUCAGGAAGCCAUUUAAGUACAGUUUAGAGGUUCUCAGCAUCUCCUUGACUAAAAGCACGGCCAGGGUGUUGAAUAACAUCAUGGGGUACUGCUACAACAACUCCACCGCGAACAUGGAGGAAUUCGGCAAUUCCAUGGAUACCAACAAAAUCAGUCGUUCUCCUUCGUUUCCCUAUCGGCUCUCUGACGUAGACAACAAGUUCACGGUCAUCGGAUGCAAUGCCCUUGCCUCCAUGAGCGACGCCGAGGACACAGGCAUAGGCACAGGCACAGGCUACCAAGCCCUCGGCAUCGCAACAUGUCACGGUCUGCCAGACUUAGUGGACGGAUCCUGCUCCGGUAUCGGGUGCUCCCAGACUACGAUACCGAAGAAGAUUCCCUACUACCAUACAAGUUUCCUCAAGUCGGUCAACACAAGUCAGAUCUGGGAGUUCAACCGGUGUAGCUAUGCUGUGUUGAUGGAGACAGCUGAAUUCAACUUUAGAGCUUCGUACAUAAGAAAUACUGAGUUCAAUGACACAUAUCAGGGGCGGGUGCCUCUAGUGGUUGAUUGGGCUAUAAGAGAUGUGAGUUCAUGUGAUGACGCCCGACGAAAUAGCACAGGUACUUACGCAUGUGUAAGCAGCAACAGCAAGUGUGUGAAUUCCAACAAUGAUCGCGGGUACACAUGCAAUUGUGUCCACGGGUAUGAAGGCAACCCUUAUCUUCCACACGGAUGCAAAGAUGUCAACGAAUGCGACCACAAUCCAUGUCCUCCGAACGGCAUUUGCCACAAUAUCGUUGGAGGGCACCGGUGUUCUUGCCGAGGUGGGAAAAAAUUUGACGACAAAAGCAAUACGUGCAACCCAGACACCGGCUUUAUAAUAGGAGUUACAAUGGGAUUAUUUGGCUUAGUGGUUAUCAUCAUGGCAACUAUUUUCUCAAGACAAACGAUAAGUCAAAAAAGGAGACUAAGUAAAGUAAAGCAGGAGUAUUUUCACCAGCAUGGAGGCUUGAUUUUGUUGGAUAGGAUGAGAUCGGAGAAAGGUCUUGCUUUCACGGUAUUUUCAGAAGCUGAACUUGUGCAUGCUACUAACAACUUUGACAAUAGUAGAAUACUUGGAAGAGGGGGCCAUGGAACGGUUUAUAAAGGGAUAGUGAAGGACAACAUGCAGGUAAAAGAAUUGCACUAGUUGACGAAAGGCAAAAGAAAGAAUUUGGACAAGAGAUCCUCAUUUUGUCCCAAAUCAAUCACAAGAAUAUAGUGAAACUCUUGGGUUGUUGCCUUGAGGUUGAAAUUCCAAUUCUAGUCUACGAGUUUGUCCUAAAUGGCACACUAUUCGAGCUUAUCCAUGGCAAGAAGCACAAAAUGAAAAUAUCCUUUGGCACUCUCUUAAGAAUUGCUCAUGAAGCAGCCGAAGGACUCAACUUCCUGCAUUCCUACGCGUCUCCCCCAAUAAUUCAUGGUGAUGUGAAAACUUCCAACAUCUUGAUUGAUGGUAACUAUAUGGCCAAAGUGUCAGACUUCGGAACCUCCAUAUUAGCUCCAUCUGAUAAAGAGCAGUUUGUCACAAUGGUUCAAGGUACUUGUGGUUACCUUGAUCCUGAAUACAUGCAAACAUGCCAGUUGACAGAUAAAAGCGAUGUGUAUAGCUUCGGAGUUGUCCUUUUAGAGAUCCUCACGGGCCAAUUACCACUGAAGCUCGAGGGCUCUGAGAAACAAAGAAGCUUGGCACUGAUUUUUCUGUCUGCGAUGAAGGAGAAUAAUCUAGAUGAUGUAUUGUUGAGCCACGUGAAAGUCCAAGAGAGCAUGGAGUUGCUGGUAGGACUUGCAGAGCUGGCUAAGAAAUGCCUAGAUAUGUGUGGCGACAAGAGGCCAUCCAUGAAAGAGGUCGCCGAUGAGCUCAACAGAUUGAGGAAACUUUCAUUGCAUCCUUGGAUAGAAAUCAACAUGGAGAUGGAUGUAGAAAGCCUUCUUGGUGGAGAAUCAGUUUGUGGCCAUGAAAUAGAAUUAAGUGGGUAUCCUACAGGAGAAAAUAAGAACGAA
rnacentral:rRNA from 1 species